AAUCAACGCUGGCGGCGUGCCUAACACAUGCAAGUCGCACGAGAAAGGGACUUCGGUCCUGAGUACAGUGGCGCACGGGUGAGUAACACGUGAAUAAUCUACCUCCGAGUGGGGAAUAACUGAGAGAAAUCUUAGCUAAUACCGCAUAACACUUACGAGUCAAAGCAGCAAUGCGCUUGGAGAGGAGUUCGCGGCAGAUUAGUUAGUUGGCAGGGUAAUGGCCUACCAAGACGAUGAUCUGUAUCCGGCCUGAGAGGGCGCACGGACACACUGGAACUGAAACACGGUCCAGACUCCUACGGGAGGGCAGCAGUGGGGAAUUUUGCGCAAUGGGGGAAACCCUGACGCAGCAACGCCGCGUGGAGGAUGAAAUCCCUUGGGAUGUAAACUCCUUUCGAUCGGGAAGAUGAUGACGGUACCGAGAG
rnacentral:rRNA from 1 species